rnacentral:tRNA from 1 species
UGGCUUUUUAGUAUAAUAAGUAUAACUAUUUUAAGCGUAGUUGGUUUUAAGCUAU